rnacentral:tRNA from 1 species
GCCUGGCUGGCUCAGUUGGUAGAGCAUGAGUUUCUUGAUCUCAGGGUUGUGAGUUCAAGCUCCACGUUGGGCA